CUCAUCGCACAAUAUACCCAACCCAGAAAGACGGAAGAAAAAACCGGAAAGAAAGAAGACGAAACCAAAUCGUCACACAAACAAACUAGGAAGAAGGAAGAAAAAUCAAGUACCCGAUCGAAUCACUACUUCCAUAUCCACCCUAUUCACUGCAAAAGGUCGACACUGCGCCUUUGAUUGUGUCAAUUAUAGUUUGUUUCACAACAUUUUAAAAAAUUGCAGUAUGUUGUUCAGUGUGAAUGUCUUUUAUGUAUUUUUCCCCAUAAAUAAGUUUAUUGGAUCAUAAUCUACAUAUUAAUUGUGUAAAAUGUUUACUCUGGUUCAGUUUGAUGUUGAAUGUGCUCAAUUAUUUUCCUAAAAAUUGAUGGUUUGUGAUUUACAGCACCCGUUAUAGUUGUAUAUUAAUUUUCAUCCUUGGAUAUGUGUUAGUUUUGUGUCUCAAUAACUUAAAUAUGGUUUGUGAUUACAUUUUUGAUGCCAUUAUUUUCAAAGUUAUUCCUCCUAAAUAUGUAAGUUGCCAACAGGCUGUGCAAAUACCAUUGAUUUUGCCAAAUUAUCAAAAAUGACUUGUAAUUCGUUUUGAAGCAUAAAAAUAUGUUUGGAAUCAAUUAAUUGUAGAAUUUGACUUCUGUACUCGUGUUCUGUAUCACUUUGUCCCUCGCGUGUCCUCGGUGUGGUGACGAGGUUUCUUAUCUGUUGUGCUGAUUCACUUUUACUCUUUUGACAUAUAGUUUUGCUUGAUGCUUGCAUUACUAGCUUCCUUGCCAUCUACCUAUGGAGACUUAGAUGGCCAUGUAAUAUAUAUUGAUGUGGAAUCCAAUAGUUCAACAAAGUACUUAUUGAUCCGACUGUACUAAUUUCUAUGCUUUACCAUGAAUAGAUUUCUAGAAUCUUAUAGUCACACUCUGCCUUUAUUUUCAAAAUGAUAGAAAUGGGGUUUGACAGUUUUCCAGAAAUAUUUCACACGAAAGGAAUGGCAAAAGAGACAAACAUGUUCAGUGUUCUGUACUUUAUCUUUCUCAAUUCAUUCCUUGAUGUCUGUGAUGGGUAUGAGAUGAUAUAAUGUUUCAGCCCUUUUUAUGGUGGUUCAAGAUAACCAAGAAAUGGGUUUAUCUGUAUAUUAUGUUAAGGGCUAUUAAUUUAGUUAGAUCAAGAAUUAGAAUAUCAAUUUCAAGUUUAACCAUAAUGCUCAUAUCCUAUGUUGGCUGAGGACAUGACUAAUAAUUUUUAGGGUUAUUACUUGCAAAUACCAUGUUUUUAUAUAGAGAUUGACGUGCCAUCAAAAUUAUUUUGUAAUUUGUCCACAACUGUGAGUAGUCAUAGGGAUUGAACCUUCCACUUUAAAAUGCAGUUUUAAGUUCCUCUUCAGCUACAAAUAGAUUUUUCCUCACCUGCCUUGAUUGCCUUUACUAUUUUCUUCAACCUUCUAAUAUAAGAAUACUUAAAAGAUGCAUGCAGACUCCAUUCUAAAUCUAUCAGGUUUUUUAUUUCCCUGAAUAAUGUUUCAGAAUUAUUUCUUUGGUAGUAACUGAGAUUGUAUCAAUAUUAUUCCAAAUGACUAAAUAUAUUAUUCAUCUUGUAUAAAUAUAAUACGUAAUAUAUAUGUAAAUUUUAUUUCACGUGAUAGUUCGUAAUAUGGCUACAACAAGGAAUCAACGUUAAUGCGAACGACAACAUUUAGGUUUAUUUUAAAUUAUGGUCAUACAAGUAAUUGUGAUAUAUAAUGAUAUUAGGCAUCGGGAACAAUAUCUUCCUAGAGCUCCUCUCACUAAUUGGGAUUCAGAAAGGGAGAUGACACUUACAUGAAUGUUUGGUACGAGUGAUACGAUAUGUCGUCAUUCACCUUGGAUGAAAAUAGGUCCAUUUCAAAGAUUGUGUGCUCAUUUGCGAACUUAUAGGUUGUUUGAUAGUAAGUUUGUCCGAAUUGAGGAACAAGUGGCUAUUUUUCUAAACACCGUCGGGCAAGACCAACGUAAUCGAGCUGGACUUUACUUUUUUUCGAUCUAGUCAAAUAGUGAGUUUUUACUUCCACAUAGUCUUAAUGCGUGUCUUAGACCGUAUAGAGAUGUUGUGAUUAAUGCCACUUCUCAUAACUCUCCAUACGAGAAGGAAAAUUUGAAGCCAUGGUGCUCAUUUUUUCAGAUUCAAGGUUUGUGGUUAUUUCAUUAUAUCUUAGAACUUCAAUGUUAUAAUAUUUUGAAAAUUAUUCUUUUUUAAAGGAUGUUGUCGGGGCAAUAGAUGGUACACACAUUACUGCGAACGUCUCUUUAGAAGAGCAAGCUAGGUAUAACAAUAGAAAGCAAGUAAUUCCUCAAAAUGUUUUGAUAGUUUGCACAUUUGAUAUGAAAUUUACAUAUGUGCUUGUCGAUUGGGAGGGAUCAGCACAUGAUGGUCGAUUGUUAAAGAGUGCAAUAUUAUGCCAAGGGCAUAAGCUAGCAAUUCCUUUUGGUAAGUCGUAUUACUAAUUUGAAAAAGAAAAUCUUACACAUACAAGUUAUAAUAAUUAAAUAAUUACUAUGUAAUAAUAACUGUAACAGGUAAAUAUUAUCUUGUCGAUGUCAGUUUCCCAUUGGUUUUGUGAUUUCUUACGCCAUACUAUGGGACUCGUUAUCAUUGUAGAGACAUUGAGGGUCAACGUCUUGAAAGUAGCAAGGAGUUAUUCAAUUUUCGACAUUCAUCUCUACGUAAUGUCAUUGAGAGGACAAUUGGUUUGCUGAAAAAAAGAUUUGCAUAUUUGAGACAUCAACCCUACCACGACAUUGACACAGAAGCAAAGAUAGUCCUUGCUUAUUCUGCCAUCCACAACUUCUUAAGGAUUGAUGACAUAGAAGAUAUUUGUGAAGAGGACUUAGUUAGUAGCGAUGACGAGGUUAACCUUACACACUGUUGAUGUACCUAAAGAUGAAACUCCAAAUGCUCACAUAUCUUUCACAUCUCCAGAAGCAUGGUCUAAUAAAAGGAAUACAAUUGCUGUGUUAAUGUAGGCUGAUUAUCGUCCUAAUCAGCUAGAUGUAGCAGUUGAUUUCGAUUGAAGUCUAAUAUUUUAUUUAUUUAUUUAUGUUUCUAUGUAAUGGAACUAAACUUGACACACUUUCAUAUUUAGCUAUUGCUAAGAAUAAAGAUGUACUGAUAUUAGAUAGUUUUUUUCACGUCCUUGUGUAAUGUUUAACAUAAGGUUGCUAGAGUUUUAAAUGUUGUAAUUGGAUUUGAUCUUAUUCGUUUCAAAUUGUUGACAUACAUUAUUUUUACCUGUUUGUAUUUAAUAGUCAACCAUAAACUUUUAAUCUUACCAUACAGAUUUCAUAGCACAUAAUCGACAAAACACUACGACACCGUUUCGAGUUCCUAGACCAACCAUCAAUUCAGAUGUGGAGGAAAUAAGCUCAACCCAAGUGGAUCCCAAUUCGAGGAAUCGUCACGUGCGUUGGAGUGAUGCAAUGGACAGUUGUAUGAUAACUACACUUUUACAUCAGGAGUUGGUUGGUCACAAAAGGAAUGACAAUGGGUUUUCAUCAUUUCACGUUUCCAAAGCAAUUGAGAGCGUGCAUAACAGAUGUUGAGUCAUGGUCUCAGAUAAGAAUGCGAGGGCGCGAUUGAAGACUUUAAAAAAGAAUUUUUCGAAGUUCGCAAUUGUUGAGUAUGAGUGAUUUUGGGUUAGAUCCUGACACUGGACGUGUCACAGCUGAUGUUCUAGCUUGGGAGAGUUUUUGAAGGUACAAUAUGUCAUCAACCAACAAAAUUAUUAGGCAUUUAAUAUUAGUACAGUAUCUUUUGACAUUGACUAUGCAUAACACAUAUUCCACUCUUUUUUCCUUUCUAGGAAGAACCAGUAUUCGGAAUUUGGAGGACCAAACUAUGUCCUUAUUAUAAUGAUAUGAAUGCUAUCUUUGGAAAUGACUCGGC
rnacentral:lncRNA from 1 species